rnacentral:lncRNA from 1 species
AAAUAGAUUUACUUAUUUCUUAAAAUCUUUUUUAAAAACAUUUCCAAAAUCUGGUCAAAAGUAUUUACCAACAAAUAUUUAGUAUAUUUUACUCAUAUGAUUUUAUUAAUCAUUUAUAUAUCUGCUGCAACAACAAAAAUUUAAACCAUUAAUCACAAAAUUUCAAUGUGGGGUUUUUAAUAGUUUUAGUAAUUUAUAAUCAUUGUUAAAAAUUUAAUGCAAAUUUCAAAAAUUAAAUAUUCAGGUCUCAAUAUUUUUUCAAUGAAGAUUUCUAAAUUAACAUAUUUAUGUAUUUUAUAUGAUAUAUAUUUCAAUUUAAAUAUAUAUAUAUAUAUAUAAGGGCAAAUCUCCAAAAUAGCACAUUUCUAAGUUUAUAUCACAAAAAUAGCACUCAAAAACUAAAAUGACCAAAAUAGCACCUUUCUAAGUUUAUCCUUUGAAAAUUUUAAUUUUUUAUUUUUCAAAAUUUGAAAUCUUAUCCCC